rnacentral:rRNA from 1 species
UGGGGAAUAUUGGACAAUGGGCGCAAGCCUGAUCCAGCCAUGCCGCGUGAGUGAUGACGGCCUUAGGGUUGUAAAGCUCUUUCGCACGGGACGAUAAUGACGGUACCGUGAGAAGAAGCCCCGGCUAACUUCGUGCCAGCAGCCGCGGUAAUACGAAGGGGGCUAGCGUUGCUCGGAAUCACUGGGCGUAAAGGGCGCGUAGGCGGACGUUUAAGUCAGGGGUGAAAGCCCGGAGCUCAACUCCGGAAUGGCCCUUUGAUACUGGGCGUCUCGAGUCUGGUAGAGGUUGGUGGAAACUGCGAGUGUAGAGGUGAAAUUCGUAGAUAUUCGCAAGAACACCAGUGGCGAAGGCGGCCAACUGGACCAGCACUGACGCUGAGGCGCGAAAAGCGUGGGGAUCAAACAGGAUUAGAUACCCCGGUAGUCCACGCCGUAAACGAUGGAUGCCAGCUGUUGGCCGGCUUGCCGGUCAGUGGCGCCGUUAACGCAUUAAGCAUCCCGCCUGGGGAGUACGGUCGCAAGAUUAAAAACUUAAAAGGAAUUGACGGGGGUCAUAGCUGUUUCCU